AAGGAAAAUUCUUACAAAAACAGGUGGCCCAGGGUCACAGUUUGCAGGCCUCUGGUAUCCUAUACCCAUAUGCAAUAUAGCUCUGUGAUGAGGGGCUGAGGGCUUAGUAUCAGGGGAGCCUGGGUUCCAAUUUUGGACAUUCUAGCCCUAGUUGUAGGGUCUAUUUGUGCAAAUUGUAGAACAUCUUUCUGCCUCAGUUCCCUCAUCUGUAUAAUAGGACUAAUAAUAACCAGAUCCCAGUGUUGGGAUUAGAUGAGCUAAGGUGUGUAAAAAACAUGGCCAGAUCCUGUGCACGGCAGAAUCUGUAAAAACAGUGGAUGCUACGUUACUUGCUAUCAUGAGCCAAGUUUCUUGUUUGUCUUUCAUCCUUCUGUGUGUUAGUCCAUUGAGUAAAUACACUUUAAUCUGCUUCAUUAUUUCUCCCAGACUGUCUACUUUAAAUCAUUCAACACCCUUGAAGCACCGAGGAUGAAGAAAAGAAGCUGAUUUUCAUUUUUGGACUGUCUGAGUAAAUGUGUUUGGGGAGGGGAGGGUGUUUAAAGACAUAAUCAACAGUGAAAUACUUGCUUGGGAAGAAUUUUUCUCCCCUCCCCCAACCAAGAAGGCUACUCAAAGAUAUGAAUGUAUUUCAGAAUUCUUUGAGAGCUGGGCUGGAUUAGGUAGGCUCUUCACUGAAGGUAAGAGAAACUUAAAAUUGCAAUGGGGCACCUCUAAACAAAACAAAGGGAUUUGUUACAGGGAAGUCAAGGGUGUUUUAUGGAAUGUAAAAUCCAAAAAUGCAGCCCAGCCUCAGCAGGUACAGGAUAAUGAAUGAAAAGUGAUUGGGAUCACGUGAGGUCAGGAGUUCAAGACCAGCCUGGCCAACACGGUGAAACCCCGUCUCUGCAAAAAUACAAAAAUUAGUCGGGCAUGAUGGCGGGUGCCUGUAAUCCCAGCUACUCAGGAGGCUAAGUGGGGGAAUCACUUGAACCCAGGAGGCAGAGAUUGCAGUGAGCCGAGAUAGCACCAUUGCACUCCAGCUUGGGCAACAGAGCAAGACUCCGUCUCAAAAAAAAAAAAAAAAAAAAAGUGAUUGGGGCAAGAGGUCAAGGUUCCACUGGGCCAAGACAAUGGUAUCUCUCAUUUUCGUACAACAGAGUCUCUCCCGUCUGCAAUUCCCUGCAGAAACAGGUUGAUAUAGUUUGGCUAUUUGUCCCUGCCCAAAUCUCAUGUUGAAUUUUAAUCCCCAAUGUUGGAGGUAGGGCCUAGUAGGAGGCAUUUGGGCCUUGGGGGUGGAUUUCUCAUGGCUUGGUACUGUCUUCGUGAGAGUGAGUUCUCAUGGGAUCUGGUCAUUUAAAAGUGUCCUGUACCUCCCCCCAACUCUUUCUCUGGCUCCUUUGUUUACCAUGUGACAUGCCUUCUUCCCCUUUGCCUUCUGUUAUGAUUGGAGGCUUCCUGAGGCCUCCUCAGAAGAUGAUGCUGCUACGCUUCCUGUACAGACUGCAGAACUGUGCGUCAGUUAAACCUCUUUUUUGCGUGUGAAUUGCCCAGUAUCAGAUACUUCUUUGUAGCAAUGCAAGAACCGUCUAAUACACAGGUACAUUUUAAUUUCACCCUUUAAAUCUUGUUCUAUGUGCAGCUUCCUUCCUUGGAUCCCCGCCUUGAGACUUAUUGUCACAUGGUGGUGGCAAUCACUCACCUGACUGAGACGAGGAAAGAAAAGCAGGCAUGUGUUUGUGUCUUAACUUCCCACCUUGGCUAUUGGCCAGGAGAUAGGGGUUUUGGCCAGGAGAUGCGGCGAUUGCAUCAGACAGAGGCGGGGGAGCCCGAGGAAAGAGGAGUUCUCCACACCUUGAUCACCACCGAAGGCUCUGGAUCCUUCUCUCUGGCUGAUUUGACCACACCCAGGAGCAGUGACAUGGAAGUGAACUUGGAGAGUACAAAAUAUUCACAAGCAUGUGGACUAAGAGCAGUUGUCACAAGCCACUGGUAGAAGAUCAGCCUGUCAUUAUCUUGUAUCCAGGACCCAGCAGCUCCAUUCCUAGUUCUGUCUUCUACAUGGGUCCCAGGACACCUGCAUGAAGAUGUUCAUUGCAGCGUUGUUUAUAAUCGCAAAAAACUGAGAGUGGGAGGAGACUCUGAAUGUCCAGGAGAAUGGAAAAAGUAUACCAUUGUACGUAAAUGAACAUUAAAUGGCAGAGAAGAAGGACCAUGUAUCAAGAGAGACAUGUCUCAAAAUCAGUGUCAAAUAUAAAAAGCAAGUUUCAGAAAGAUACGUAUUGGAUAAUAUCAUUUAUAAAGUGUUUCUGAAACAUGGAACAUGUAUUAUACAUUCUGUACACUUGCAUAUUUAAGUAGCAAAAUUAUAAAAAAAAAACAGGAAUGGGAAUAAGGAAGUUACCAGUAUAAAGAUUACAUUAUGGGACAGUGCUGUGAUUAGGAGUUCAGGCUUUGGAAUCAGACGGACUGGUUUGAAUCCUGGCUUGGACUUAACUUCUCUGAGCUUUUGUUUCCUUACAUGAAAAAUGGGACCAAUAAUGGUAUCAACCUCAUAAGGCUUUUGUGAGGAUUAAAGGAAAUAAUAUGUAUAAAACCCUGCACUCCGCAGUGUAUUUAUAAGAUUUAGAUGUACAGGAGGUAUAAAGAGGUGACAAUAAAACCACCAAUCUCAGGGCUGUCUUAAAUUAAGAUUUUUUUCUAAUUAAAAAAUUAAUUUUGGAAUUAUGCUCAUCAUAGAGACCGUGAAAAUUACAGAUGUAUAUAUAUAUGUGUGUGUAUAUAUAUAUAUAUAAAGAAAGAAAAGAAAAUUAACAUGUCCCCAAAUCUCCCUACCCUGGAAAACACUAUAACAUUUUAAUGACUUUCCUUCCAGUCUUCUUUUGGCAAUACGCAUUCACACGUACUUAGAUGAGGGGGUUCAGAGGAGAGGCGUGAAUCUACACAUCUCUCUGUCUAUCUAUGAGAAACAUCUCCCAGCUUACUAUUUGUAUUCUGCCCUUUUCAUUACCACUUGGGGCAGACUCUGUAAGUGUCUGAAGCAAUUCCUUCUUCUUCUCUACCAACAUAACCCAUUUUUGUUUAUGUAUUGGCCAGAAUUCUCCUGAUCUCAGGGAAGAUGUAUAGGGUAGUCAUGUGAUCUAGCUAUGGCCAAUUAAAAGUAAAAAUAGGCUGGGCAUGGUGGCUCACGCCUGUAAUCCCAACACUGAGAGGCUGAGGUGGGUGGAUCACUUGAGGUCAGAAGUUCGAGACCAGCCUGGCCAACAUGGUUGAACGCUGUCUCUAAUGAAAACACAAAAAUUAGCUGGCAUGGUGGUGCAUGCCUGUAAUUGCAGCUACUUGGGAGGCUGAGGCAUGAGAAUGGGUUGAACCUGGGAGACGGAGGUUGCAGAGAGCUGAGAUCUCGCCACUGCACUCCAGCCUGGGCGACAGAACAACACUGCAUCUCAAAAAUAAAAAUUAAAAAAAAAAAGCAAAAUAAGUUUGAUGUGGAAACUUUUAGGAAGGAGUUUUGUAUCCUGAUAAAAAGCAAGACUGAAGUUCUGCCCCAGUCCUGGUCGCACAUAUCAUUCUUGUCUUUGAAUGAGACCAUGAUGCCAGGAGCUAUGGCAGCCAUUCUAUGUUCAUGAGACAAGCAGCCUGACGACAACGGCCAACACAAUGAAGAGGAUGGAGCAGAAAAACAGAAGAGCCUGGGUCCUUGAUGACCCUGUUGAGGGGCCAGACCAGCCCUGAGGCCACUAACCUUCAGACUUCUUAUAAAUGAACAUAAAUAGCCUCAUGCUUGAAGGCACCAAUGGUCUGACUUUCCAUUACCUUGAGGCCAAAAGUAUUGCAAAUGCAGACUUAUUGUAGAAUUCUUGGAAAUUACACAAUGUUUCAAAGAAGAAAAUGGACAUCAUCCAAAAUCUCACUACCUGGAGAUAAACACUAUUAAAUAUUUUGGUAUAUUUUCUUAUUUUCUUCUAACCAUAGAGAAAAGUCUUUCUUUUUUUAAAAGUGUAUUGCUUGCUAUUUGGCUUACUAUUAAAUUAAGUGUUUCUUUCCUUGUUAUUAAAGAGUCUUUGAAAAGUUUAUUUUUAAUAUCCAUUGCUUGGAUGUAUUGUUACAACUGACACGUUUGGUUUGACUUCUGUCAUGAAGAUAAAACAAGAGGCUUUCUGUUUGUGGGUGUUUGUGCAUUUUCUUUUCCUGCUUCCUUUGUUUCCAGCUUUUGCUAUGUGGAUUUUUCACUGUGCCUGAAAAAGUUCCCUUCCUCUAGCAUUGUGGAAGGUAAUUCACUCUUCACAGGACUCUGGAUUUCAGAUUUAUAGUUUGAGGCGCAUUUCCUUGAUCCUUUUGAGAAUCACACAUUGCUGAGUCCUGAAUUUCAGCUCUUAUAGGGGCGUUUCUUACCAUUUGAUGAGUAAAUCUCACAAAUGCCAGCUGUUGCUAGCUUACAAGGAAUCAAGUACCGGAAGUUCUUUCUCCAAACUGGAGUGCAUUCCCAGCACAUCCUAUGGGGUCCAAAUCUCCCCAUUUCAUAAUCUUUGUCAGGGAGAAGUGGUGUAGAGAGGACAAAAGGAAAGAAGUUUUCUUUGCUAGAUCAUAAACAUGCUAAAGGGCAAAAUUAAUACAGGUGAUACCCUUUUAGCAACACCUAAGGGAGUGAGCGAGGAUAAUUUCUGUGUGCUGCAUCUUUGUGUCUAAAACAUCAUGUGCAAUUGUUUUAUUUGGUUCUCUCUGAACAAUUCUUCCUGGACGCACAGGA
rnacentral:lncRNA from 1 species